UACGUAGGGUGCGAGCGUUGUCCGGAAUUAUUGGGCGUAAAGGGCUCGUAGGCGGUUUGUCGCGUCGGAGUGAAAACACACAGCUUACUGUGUGCUUGCUUCCGAUACGGCAGACUGGAGGUAUGCAGGGGAGAACGGAAUUCCUGGUGUAGCGUGAAAUGCGCAGAUAUCAGGAGGAACACCGGUGACGAAGGCGGUUCUCUGGCAUGUCCUGACGCUGAGGAGCGAAAGUGUGGGGAGCGAACAGG
rnacentral:rRNA from 1 species